rnacentral:rRNA from 1 species
UACGAAGGGUGCAAGCGUUACUCGGAAUUACUGGGCGUAAAGCGUGCGUAGGUGGUUUGUUAAGUCUGAUGUGAAAUCCCAGGGCUCAACUCUGGAAGUGCACUUGAUACUGUAAAUCUUGAAUGUGGUAGAGGUUACUGGAAUUCCUGGUGUAGUGGUGAAAUACGUAGAUAUCAGGAGGAAUACCGGAGGCGAAGGCGGGUAACUGGGCCAACAUUGACGCUGAGAUCCGAAAGCGUGGGGAUCAAACAGG